rnacentral:rRNA from 1 species
AACCGCGUACUUUUUGUAGAACGGUCCGGCGAGUUGCGCUGGCUGGCGAGGUUAAGCACCAAAGGUGUGGAGCCGAAGGGAAACCAAGUCUUAAUAGGGCGAAUGAGUCAGUCGGAGCAGACCCGAAACCGGGUGAUCUAUCCAUGUCCAGGUUGAAGUUGCCGUAAAAGGCAAUGGAGGACCGAACCCACAUCCGUUGAAAAGGGUGGGGAUGAGGUGUGGAUAGGGGAGAAAUUCCAAUCGAACCCGGAGAUAGCUGGUUCUCCUCGAAAUAGCUUUAGGGCUAGCCUCAUAUAAGUCUUGCGGAGGUAGAGCACUGAAUUUCCUAGGGGGCGUCAAAGCUUACCGAAGAAUAUCAAACUCCGAAUGCCGUGUAGAUGUUGUAUGGGAGUCAGACUGUACGAGAUAAGUUGGACAGUCAAAAGGGAAAGAGCCCAGACCUGCAGCUAAGGCCCCAAAAUGUGUGUUAAGUGGAAAAGGAUGUGGGAUUUCAAAGACAACUAGGAUGUUGGCUUAGAAGCAGCCAUACAUUCAAAGAGUGCGUAAUAGCUCACUAGUCGAGAGGUCCUGCGCCGAAAAUGUCCGGGGCUGAAACACACUGCCGAAGCUCAGGAAUGUACCUAGUACAUUGGUAGAGGAGCAUUGUAUACGGGACGAAGCAGUACCGAUAAGGAGCUGUGGACUGUAUAGAAGAGAGAAUGCCGGAAUGAGUAGCGAGAGGAAGGUGAGAAUCCUUCCGGCCGAAUAUCUAAGGUUUCCAGAGUAAAGCUGAUCUGCUCUGGGUAAGUCGGGGCCUAAGGCCAGGUCGAAAGACGUAACCGAUGGACAACAGGUUGAAAUUCCUGUACCUUAAGUAAACAGAACUGUGGGGACACGUGUGGAGAGCACAAGCCGGAAAUGGAAAAGCCGGUGCAAGCGAGGUAGGAGAUGAAUAGGCAAAUCCGUUCAUCAAUCCGAAGACGUGAUGCGGACCGAAUUAAGAGUAGGGAAGUGUGUGAGCCAUGCGUCAAGAAAAGCCGCUAUUGUUUUACUUAAGCCCGUACCGUAAACCGACACAGGUGGAUGAGGAGAGAAUCCUAAGGCCGACGGGAGAAGCAUUGUUAAGGAACUCGGCAAAAUGACUCCGUAACUUCGGGAGAAGGAGUGCCAGCGAGAGCUGGCCGCAGAGAAUUGGCCCAAGCAACUGUUUAGCAAAAACACAGGUCUAUGCAAAACCGUAAGGUGAAGUAUAUGGGCUGACGCCUGCCCGGUGCUGGAAGGUUAAGAGGAGAGGUUAGCGGUAACGCGAAGCUUUGAAUUUAAGCCCCAGUAAACGGCGGCCGUAACUAUAACGGUCCUAAGGUAGCGAAAUUCCUUGUCGGGUAAGUUCCGACCCGCACGAAAGGCGUAAUGAUUUGGGCACUGUCUCAACAAUGCACCCGGUGAAAUUGAAAUACCAGUGAAGAUGCUGGUUACCUGCGCCAGGACGGAAAGACCCCAUGGAGCUUUACUCCAGCUUGAUACUGGGAUUCGGUAUUGCAUGUACAGGAUAGGUGGGAGGCUAGGAAGUGAUGACGCCAGUUGUCACGGAGCCGCUGUUGGGAUACCACCCUUGCAGUAUUGGAUUUCUAACCAGCGACCAUGAACUGGUCGGGGGACAAUGUCAGGUGGGGAGUUUGACUGGGGCGGUCGCCUCCGAAAGGGUAUCGGAGGCGCUCAAAGGUUCCCUCAGAAUGGACGGAAACCAUUCGAAGAGUGCAAAGGCAGAAGGGAGCUUGACUGCGACACCGACGGGUGGAGCAGGUACGAAAGUAGGACUUAGUGAUCCGGUGGUAUAAAGUGGGAUUGCCAUCGCUCAACGGAUAAAAGCUACCCUGGGGAUAACAGGCUUAUCACUCCCAAGAGUUCACAUCGACGGAGUGGUUUGGCACCUCGAUGUCGGCUCAUCGCAUCCUGGGGCUGAAGUAGGUCCCAAGGGUUGGGCUGUUCGCCCAUUAAAGCGGUACGCGAGCUGGGUUCAGAACGUCGUGAGACAGUUCGGUCCCUAUCCGGCGUGGGCGUAGGAUAUUUGAGAGGAGCUGUCCUUAGUACGAGAGGACCGGGAUGGACUGGCCGCUGGUGUAUCUGUUGCAUACCAAGUGCAUGGCAGAGUAGCCAAGCCGGGACGGGAUAAACGCUGAAGGCAUCUAAGCGUGAAGCCCCCCUCAAGAUGAGAUAUCCCUACGUAAGUAGUAAGACCCCUUGAAGACGACGAGGUAGAUAGGUCAGAGGUGGAAGUACAGUAAUGUAUGGAGCUGACUGAUACUAAUCGGUCGAGGGCAUGACCAAG